ensembl:snRNA U6 U6 spliceosomal RNA
GUGCUUGCUUUGGCAACACAUAUACAACAAUUUGAACACUACAGAGAUUAGCCUUGCCUCUGCGCAAGGAUGACACACAAAUUCGUGAAGCCUUCUAUUAAAAA